GGACCCGUAGCUCAGCGGUAGAGCAUCUGAUUCCAGCUUGAAAAUAGUCGAGUAGUUCUACUCCACUAUCAACCGUAUCCAGAAGGUCAUCCGUUCAAAUCGGGUCGGGUUCA